rnacentral:rRNA from 1 species
GACGAACGCUGGCGGCGUGCUUAACACAUGCAAGUCGAACGGAAAGGCCCUGCUUGCAGGGUGCUCGAGUGGCGAACGGGUGAGUAACACGUGGGUGAUCUGCCCCUUACUUUGGGAUAAGCCUGGGAAACUGGGUCUAAUACUGGAUAGGACCAUGCUGUAGGUGGUGUGGUGGAAAGAUUAGUUUCGGUAAGGGAUGAGCUCGCGGCCUAUCAGCUUGUUGGUGGGGUAAUGGCCUACCAAGGCGUCGACGGGUAGCCGGCCUGAGAGGGUGGACGGCCACAUUGGGACUGAGAUACGGCCCAGACUCCUACGGGAGGCAGCAGUGGGGAGUAUUGCACAAUGGGCGCAAGCCUGAUGCAGCGACGCCGCGUGGGGGAUGACGGCCUUCGGGUUGUAAACUCCUUUCAGCCAUGACGAAGCCCUUGUGGUGACGGUAGUGGUAGAAGAAGCACCGGCUAACUACGUG